UAUAAUGAUCAAAUUAUUGUUAUUAUACAACUAGGUGGCUGCUGAAAUUCAUCAGAGGCAGGUGGAAGACGAAAAGGAAAACCAGCCAGCAGACUCAAAAGAAAAGAUUCCUCAGAUGGGUGGGAAUAAAAAGGUCAAGAAGGAAAAGGAGCCACCUAAGAAAAAAAAGGCAGAUAAGAAAGCAAAAGAUAAGUCACCACCCACAGCAGAAGCCACUGUGACAGUGACAGCAGAGGAAAUGGCUGAAAUGGAGAGGAAAAAUGAAUUGAGACUCAAAAUAAAGGAAG
rnacentral:lncRNA from 1 species